AAUCUCUGACCAGAGUAAGUUUGAAUAUUGAAAAAGAGUUUUAAUGAAAUUCAUAUAUGAACUCGAGUCAGCCAAUCUAGCAUACGAUUGACGAUGGGGUUUGACGAGUUCUUCAUGACCUCUAUCCAGUCGGGACUCACGAUAGAGGGAUUGCAUCACAUGAUAACUACACCUAGGAGUUCAUCUUUUCUGUUCUGUUGGG
rnacentral:lncRNA from 1 species